rnacentral:rRNA from 1 species
AAAUUGAAGAGUUUGAUCAUGGCUCAGAUUGAACGCUGGCGGCAGGCCUAACACAUGCAAGUCGAACGGUAACAGGAAGCAGCUUGCUGUUUCGCUGACGAGUGGCGGACGGGUGAGUAAUGUCUGGGAAACUGCCUGAUGGAGGGGGAUAACUACUGGAAACGGUAGCUAAUACCGCAUAACGUCGCAAGACCAAAGAGGGGGACCUUCGGGCCUCUUGCCAUCGGAUGUGCCCAGAUGGGAUUAGCUUGUUGGUGGGGUAACGGCUCACCAAGGCGACGAUCCCUAGCUGGUCUGAGAGGAUGACCAGCCACACUGGAACUGAGACACGGUCCAGACUCCUACGGGAGGCAGCAGUGGGGAAUAUUGCACAAUGGGCGCAAGCCUGAUGCAGCCAUGCCGCGUGUAUGAAGAAGGCCUUCGGGUUGUAAAGUACUUUCAGCGGGGAGGAAGGGAGUAAAGUUAAUACC